ensembl:lncRNA
UGCCUACAGUGUGUGCUGCCCUUCUGCACAGUGGAAUUGUGGGGAAGUAACUACCAGCCAGAGACUACCUCAAGGCCUCUUUCAUCAAGGAGAGGCCCGUAUUAGUUUUCAACAGUGAGAUACAGAGGACCCAACAUACAACUCAGAGGGCCUAGAAGAUGGAGAAACCACAGACAAGAAGCAGAGGAGAUGAGCAUGUGAUUAUUGUUGGCGUGUGUCUGGAAGCAACCAGAAUGGAAUGGGGAAGACUCAAGGAGAAGAUCUUCACAGGAGCCACCUCUCAUCACAGCUCCCAUGUGGUUGUAAUCACCCCAGAGCAAAAUAAAAUUUCAGGGUUUUAUGGUUUCAUUACUGGUAAUAGCAGCUGUUUUGAAGACACAAAACACAGCAGCAAGUUCUAGAACAUACUCACAGUUUCCUUGGUCACAGUUGUGUCAGUGGUUCUAUGAAGGUCUUAGAAACCUCUGCUUAGUUGACUGCAAGUAGUAAGCAAGAAAACAGUCCUGUGAAGGGAGUGAAGGUCAGAAUCAAGAAGUCUGGAGGGUUUAAAUUGCAUUUUGAAAAAUGUAAUAAUAUAUACUAUUUUAAAUAUCAUAAACAACACACUUCUCUUACCAAAAAAAGAAAGAAAAAUUAGAAAAUAGGACAUAAAACUCAUCUACUAUACCACCAUCCAGAUACAACUACUGUUAACCUAGAAACACUUGAAGAAUGUUUCAUGAAUAUUUAUAUAUGCAUAUAUAUUUUCUAUUGGUGUUAGUUUACAAAACAAGGAUCCUAUCGUCCAUGCUGUUUUGUGACGCUUCUUUCAUUGAAGAAGAUAUUAAUAAAUAUCCGUUGCCAGUAAAUAAACCUCAGCUUUGUGGUAGACAGGUUCUUUUUUUUUUUUGAGACAGAGUUUAGCUCUCGCUACCCAGGCUGGAUCUCGGCUCACCGCAACCUCCGCCUCCUGGGUUCAGGCAAUUCUCCUGCCUCAGCCUCCUGAGUAGCUGGGAUUACAGGCAUGCGCCACCAUGCCCAGCUAAUUUUUUGUAUUUUUAGUAGAGAUGGGGUUUCACCAUGUUGACCAGGAUGGUCUCGAUCUCUUGACCUUGUGAUCUGCCUGCCUCGGCCUCCCAAAGUGCUGGGAUUACAGGCUUGAGCCACCGUGCCCAGCCGGUAGACAGGUUCUAAGAUGAUUUCCUUUGAUCCCGAUCCCCUGUGUUCUCACCAUUGUGUAACUGUGUGAUCCAUUCUACCUGAGUGUUUGCUGAACCUCUGACUUACAUCCAACCAAUAGAAUAUUGCAAAUGUUUUGGGAUAUAAUUUCUGAGAUUAGGUUACAAAAGGACUCUAUCUUCUUGCUCGCCCUGUCUUAUUCUCUGUCUUGCUUUCUUCAAUGGAGCCAACUGCCAUGUCACAGAGGGGCUGCCCUAUAGAAAUGUCCAUGUGACAAGGAGCUAAGGGAGACCAGCACAGGAUGAGCUCAAUCCUGCCAAGAAUCACUUGAGUGAACUUGAGAGUGAAUCCUCUCUAAGUUAAGCCUUGAGGUGACUGUAGCUCCAGCAAACACCUUCAUUUAACCUUGUGAGAGAGCUGAGUCAGAGGGAUUCAGUGAAGCCACGCCCGGAUUCCAGACCCUCAGAAACUGUGAGAUAAGAAAUUUAUCUUUCUAAUUAGCUAAGUUUUGGUAUAAAACAACCAUUGAUAACUGAUACAAAUCACAUAAGUUCUAAAAGCUGCUUCAUAUUUUAAUAUGCCUGUACCAUAACUUACUCAAUCUUUUGUUGUUGCACAGUUUGGUUAUUUGGUUUUGCUAUUAUAAACAGGGUUGCAAUGAAUAUUAUUGUACUUAAACAUUGGUACACAUUCUUCUUUCCUAAGGAUAAAGCCCUUGAAGUAGAACAGCUGGCUUUCAAGGGGUAUGCAUUUUUUUUAAAGCUUUUGAUACGCUAUUCCCCAAUCACUUUCUGGAAGGAUUGCAUUCUUUUACGCUCCUGCUGGCUGUAGUUUGGAGUGGGUUUUUGGUUAAUUUCAACUACUUUAUCUUGAACUGUCUCUAUGAUAACCAGUUAGAAACCAAAACCAAAGCCCCAAACAAGAAUCCAAGAAAGAAAACGAAGGUUGAAUCUUGAAAAGUAUGAGAUAAAUUUGAAGCUAUACAGUUUCUAAAGUACCAUUGUUUUGAAAUAAGUCUGAUAAAUUCAACCACCCUCAAAUCGUUAUUCUUAUGUUUCAGUGGACACAUAAGUCCUGAAAAUGUGAUGGUACUCAUAGUCCCCAUGAACUCAGAGAGGGGAAGCAGCAAUUUCCCUGGUUGAAGUAAACAUAACAAUAGGCUAGUGUGAAAAUCCUGGUUUGUUUUUUGUUUUUUUCAGUUGCACAAAAGAUUGUCAAUAAAUUCAACUUAUUAAAUUACCAAGAUGGAUAAACUGAACUCAACAGAUUUUUUUCUAAGCAUUUUGUGUACAUAGAUACCACCACCAUUUUUAAAUUGCAAUCCUUACUGUUGGGGAAGAGCAAAUAUUUUAAUGAAUGCUAUAUAUUUUAACAAACUCCGAACUCUGCGGUUGGUUUAAGCUAAGGGUGCAAUUUCAGGCAUCUAAAU